rnacentral:lncRNA from 1 species
ACUGCGCACCUGUUGUUGAUGAAACCGCUCCAUGAAAGGCUGGUAUCCUAACAACCAGGGACAUUUGUUUAUAAGAUAUUCAACAGAACAGUGUUUGUUCAGACCUGUGGUUCCAACAACAACAAGAAGAAAUUCCAACAACAAGAAGAAACAAACGGAAAUCUGCCAGCAACGAAGGUGUACCACAGUGCAAAUCAACUCAGUAGGACUUGAUCACCCUUCGUGAAACAGUUCUUUUCUGAAGGAAAAUGCCUGAAAAGACAGAUAACCUAAGACAAAAAGAAGCAAGAUACUUGAACAGGUACUUCACAAAAGAAGAUGGCUAAAUGGCCGGGUGUGGUGGCUCACAC